rnacentral:rRNA from 1 species
AUACGUAGGUGGCGAGCGUUGUCCGGAAUUACUGGGCGUAAAGGAUGCGUAGGUGGAUACUUAAGUGGGAUGUGAAAUCCCCGGGCUCAACCCGGGAACUGCAUUCCAAACUGGGUAUCUAGAGUGCAGGAGAGGAAAGCGGAAUUCCUAGUGUAGCGGUGAAAUGCGUAGAUAUUAGGAGGAACACCAGUGGCGAAGGCGGCUUCCUGGACUGUAACUGACACUGAGGCAUGAAAGCGUGGGUAGCAAACAGGAUUAGAUACCCUGGUAGUCCACGCCGUAAACGAUGGGUACUAGGUGUAGGAGGUAUCGACCCCUUCUGUGCCGUCGUUAACACAAUAAGUACCCCGCCUGGGGAGUACGGUCGCAAGACUAAAACUCAAAUGAAUUGACGGGG